CACACAUUGUUUCGGGCACCAACUUGUUGCCUCCAUACAGUCUGGGUUUGUUGGACUCUGCUGAGCUUUGGGGAUAUGCAGGUUGAUCAGGAGGGCUGCAGUAUGUCUAUACACUGGAGUCAUGGUGAUAGAAUUUAAAUCCUUGGAGGUGCUUUAGAGGUUUACCCAGCCAGUUAUCACAAAUGAGGAAAAUGAAACUCAUACAAUUUGACUCACUGACCCAAGCCCAUGCCACUAAUGCAGCAGACACUGGAACCCAGACCCGUCUCCAGUUUCCCCACCAAGGUACUUUUCUCUGUUGCUUACAGCCUAGCAUUUUGGUUUAUUUCUGUGGCUGUAAUCUGUGGGCCAAACAAGUGAUGAAGAGGACGCCAGAGACUGAAUGACGGUGAGGGGCAGGGAUUUGGGGUUGGUGAGACCUGAGCUUGCACUGCGUCUCACUUGUGAGGUGGCUGCAGCCAAGGACACGUUCAAAGAAAGAGGAGGGGGGUGCAGUGGGUUGUGCCAGCGACACCGCACCUUUCUCUCAAGACAGGGGAAUUUAUACUGGAAGUAGUGUGUGAAAGUCUCCUGCUUCCAUUUCACGGGCCAGGUCAGGUGGUUUGUCCUUGGUUAGCUGGAAGAGAAAGGGACAUAUUUGGCCUCUCCAGUAGGAGGCAGUGAGGCCAGAUUGAGUCCAGAGUUUCAGGGAGCAGGAAGGUGGGACCGAGGCCUCCACAUGGCCUAUAGGUUGGAACAGACUGUGCAGAGAAGCAGGAGAGCAAUGAGAGGAGACUGGCUUGAGUCCUUCACCUGGUGUAACUCUCCCCUACCUGAGCGCUCUGCCUUCAUUCCCCAGGGCCACCUGGGAAAUAAUAGUAAGAGUGUCUCUAAGAGCAUGAAGAGAUUUGGGAAAGAGAGAACCAGGUCAUGGUUAUUGAAAGUGCUUGAGUGAAAUACAAAAGCUUUUCUAAAAUGCAAAGUGGUUUUGCACCAUCCCCCACAUAUCUCACCUUGGCGUCUCCUGCUCCUUAGGAACCAGGUAAGAGCGGUUCAGACUGCCCUUUCUUGGCUCACCAGACCCGUCACAUUAGAAGGGAUUGUGUUCUGUGGUUAUGCUGGCUCACAGCUGCAUUUCUGCUGCAUUGCUCCACUCAAGGACCACAUCCCAGCCUGGGGAGGCUCCUGGUGUCCCCACUUGACCCGGACAUCCAUCUCAGAGUCUUUCCUCUCUUUCCACCAACCUUGCCAAGCUCCAGGUAUAUUCACUUUACGAAGAGAGUCUGUAAAGCAAAUUGAAGACCAGAAACAAUCAGUCUCAGAGCCCAGCCUCUCCAUGAUGGUUUGGGGAAGAAUCCACCGGAAAAAAGAGGGGCUGCCAUGCCAGUGCUAUUUUGGUGAUACACAACUGAAAUUACGUCCUGAAGCUUGACCCAAGCUGCCUGAUACUUUGAGGCCCUGGGCUUAUAGCUGCCUAAGAACUAAAAGGCACAGUCUGACGUUGUAGUCUGUGAAGAUGAGGCACCAUGACCAUCGAAGUGCCUAUCUCCGUAACUGCCCUUUUAUAACCCCUGCCUCAGCCAUCCUCCUGAUCUCCCAUCCAUAUUCUCAACAACACACUGAGCCUAACAGUCACUCAAAAGGAGGGAAAUGUGCCUGUUAGGCAGGGGAAAAAAGUACUUCAAAUCUGCACCAUCCAAGGUUUCCAGACAAAGUCCUCUCUUCGCCUAUCUACCUAUGCAUCUUCCUAGCAAUUGAUUGAUCAAUCAUUGAUAUAUAGAUCUAUAGAUCUACAAAGAGAUCUUUAUGGGAAUUGGUUCAUACAAUUAUGCCGGCUGAGAAGCCCCACAGUGUGUCACCUGCAAGCUGGAGGAGCAGGAGAGUGGCAGAGGACAUCAGUCUAAGGCCAAAGGCUGAGAAGCUGGGGAGCUAUGGAUGUGUCCCUGGAGUCCAAGGUCUGAGAGCCUGGAGCUCUGGUGUCCAGGAGAAAAUGGAUGUCUCAAGCAGACUGAAUUUGAGCUGUGGCCUUAGAAAGCUCACUGGAGAACAAAUGCCACCAGGCUAGGAGAAGAACCAAGGACAAGAUGAGUGACACUCGAUAGAUGACCUUUGACAAAUGCCCAACCUUUCUUCCUCGGUGCUUCCAUAUGCAAAGCUAAAGGGAGAUCUAUGGGAACUGAAAGAUUCCUCAUGCGUUCUAGAGCUCCAGCCCUUUCUGAGGAACCAUGUGAGAAGAGAACAGUUACAGGAAGACUAUCAGUAAAUGUCAGAAGUCUUUGGUAUGUGAUAUCAAGGAAAUGGCCAGGGGUAACAAAAAAUUCGGAUUAUAAAUAGGAUGGAACAAACCCCACAGCACUGAAGACCAGGCAACACCUCAAAAUUAUGCAACACAGGAAAUUUCACAGCUCAGAUAAGAAGCAAACCUCUCAUUGGAUGUUUUUAUAACUUAUAAAACAUUGUCACCUAGAACAAUAGCUUUCAGACUGAGAAGCACUUGAACAUAAUAAUGUCCCAUUUGAUCCUGACACAAUCUUGAGUGGCAGAAAGCAUUGGUUCUACUGUCCCUAUUUUAUGGCUGAGAAAACUGAGUUUCCAAGUAAUUAAGGUCAUGGACUCUUUUUUCCUAAAUCUCUACAAUUUCUAGAGACAGUGGGGUCAGUGGAGUUUUACUGCUGAGCAUCCAUGUCAGAAGUAGGAGCCCUGGGUGGAAGGUGGUGGGACCCAUGGAACACACUGUGCCCCACAGGCUGGAGUAGAGGCCUGUGGUUGUGGUUGGCCUGCUUGGGAAAGGGCAUCCCUUGGCAUCACCAAAGAGAUGGCACAGUAGAUUUGCAGGUAGCCUGCUGUCUGUGUGCUGACUCUGCUAGGACUGUGUCCUAAUCUAGUCUCUUUCUAAAUGUUCCAAUGCCAGGUUUUGGCCUGGGAGGCUGUGGGGUACAAAUAAUAGGGGAGUCUAUGAGGACUUGUGCUUUCUUGCUGUAUGCUGUUAUGUGCAGCUGGGUGUUACUGUACCAUUUUUUGUUGCUGUUCAGAGAUUUUUGUACCCUAUGCAUUAUUAUUUCAAAAAUAGACCUGUAAUAUAUUCUUGCAUGCUUGAAUUUAAUUAUGACCAUUUUCACUGAAAUGGAUGUGGUUUUUUUAUUUCUGGCCAGGCCAGAUGAGAAUCCCUAAAGAUAGAUUUUUGAGUGAUGUCUAAGCCAAUUUCUUUGAUCUUUUUAAUAUUUAUAACCAAGGAGCUCUUCUCUAGGAUGGUGAUUUAUGACUUUGACAUACUUUCCCUGGCAUUCUCUGGGCACAAGGAAACAUGUGGAACCUCACAGAAGUAACUGUUCUGAGGAAUCCAGGUGGAGCCACACUGCCUCCUCCAAUCUCACUAGCAUCCCAGCAGGAUUCGGAAAGGUCACAUGUUUAGAAUUCUAGGGCUGUCUUAGGAUCACCCAGAACCCUACAUAAUCAUUUCAUAACUUGGAGGUUGUGGCAGGAGUAAACCAUCCAUACUGUGGCCUGCUCCUGUCUUAUUUGACCGGUUCAGCUUCCAAGGACAUUGUGGGCUCUGUAUUUUGUGUCUCAGCAGGACUUAGAACAACAGCUCAUAUGCCAUUCUGUCCUGCAGUGUUUCUGUUUAGCAACACCUCAUCAUCGUAAUGCUGCUGCCUAAAGUACAAGAGAAGUUUCAGGAACACAAACAAUAGCAUAUCUGUGCCCUCUGUUUGCCUCACUGUGACUCCCUUACCAGCUGCACCUGAGCAGGCAGAGCCCAUGCCCUCUGCUCACCUGUGGGUACUCGCCCAACUGUGGGCUCGGACUUAAUCAUGCCACCAGAAGACCUUACCUCUUUGGUGUAUGCUGUGGUUAGGAAAAGGAUGCCUCUCUUUGGAUUUGGAGCUCACUGCAUUUAGGGUGGAAUGUUUGGGUAGCACUGAUGGUGGAUGAGACUGCAGUAUUCAUUCAUUCGUUUACAUCUCUCUCCAGUCUUCUCUGACAUAGAAACUGAGUGCCCAUACUAGGCAUCCAGUGGUCAGCAUAGAAGAUAAUAGUUCAGAGGAGAGCUUCUGGUUCUGUGGAACAGCUCAAGGAACUUCAUCUAUUUCAUCUUCAGUGGGUUAGUGACUGCCAACAGCCUGUUGCUGUUCAAGGGUCCUCACUAAAUUUAGGAAGCUCUGGCCCUGUCCCCUCUUCUCUUUGGAGCCUGGACCUGGGUGGCCUUGAGUGAAGAGCAAGACCCUCCCAGAACCACUGUUCAUGCUCCCUGGCUAAGUAUUACACAUGGGAGGAGCUUGGGCGUGGAGCACUCUGAAGGCUGUGUCACCCUGCACUCCAGCCACAGAGGUUUCAUCACCAAAGGAAAGCUGAGCUGUGAGCUUGUUGCUAGGCGGUGCUGUUUAUUUUUAUAAACAAGCCUUGUGCUUAAUUUAGAAUUCUGCUUUUGCUUUUUCUUUCUUCUUUCCAGCAUCAUCUGGGUGUCUGGCACCAUCAAAGAUUUCUGACCCAACAAGAGCUUAUGGGAGAGGGGAGGGGAGGAAGAAGGUUUGAGAGAGGAUUGAUGCCAGCCAGGCUGCCUCAAGAGGAGGUGGAACAUGAGGCCAUGCCAUUAGCGUCCUGUUUGGCUUCGGCAUGAGAUUCAUCUGUGACACCUACAUCGUCCUUGCUUGGAACAGCAGGACAGAAAGCAGCCCUGGUGCUUGCUCCUGUGCUGACGAGCCCACACUGAAGUACAGCAGAACAGAAGGCAAGGCCACAGAAAAGAGGACCCAAGUCAGGAGCAGAAGCAGGUGACAUCUGGACUCUCCAUUCUUUGGAAACAGCUAUUUUAAUAGCUCCACUUUACUGCAGCUAUUUUGACAGGGAGAUAUUUUUGUUUGGCCCCAAAAUUUAGCUGAGAAAUGAUCAGCUUUUCAAAAAAGUGAUAAAUAAAGUGGAUGUUUCAUACUCCAUCCAUAAGUAACACCAAACUCUGAUCUCACACCAUUGUCAGUCCCACAUGGGGCAUGAAGGACAUAUAGAUGGGGGCUGGUGAAAUAAAGGGUUGGUAGAAAAUGGGAGAAAUAUCAGGAACCGGUAAUGCUCAGGAAUGCAGUGUCA
ensembl:lincRNA